rnacentral:lncRNA from 1 species
GGCUGAUCCCCAGUCUACAUGGAGUAGAUUACUGAGUAGUUUGGUUCAUCAGGCUGACCUCCAGUCUUCAUGGAGGAGAUUACUGAGUAGUUUGGUUCAUCAGGCUGACCUCCAGUCUUCAUGGAGGAGAUUACUGAGUAGUUUGGUUCAUCAGGCUGACCUCCAGUCUUCAUGGAGAUUACUGAGUAGUUUGGUUCAUCAGGCUGACCCCCAGUCUUCAUGGAGGAGAUUACUGAGUAGUUUGGUUCAUCAGGCUGACCUCCAGUCUUCAUGGAGGAGAUUACUGAGUAGUUUGGUUCAUCAGGCUGACCUCCAGUCUUCAUGGAGGAGAUUACUGAGUAGUUUGGUUCAUCAGGCUGACCUCCAGUCUUCAUGGAGGAGAUUACUGAGUAGUUUGGUUCAUCAGGCUGAUCCCCAGUCUUCAUGGAGGAGAUUACUGAGUAGUUUGGUUCAUCAGGCUGAUCCCCAGUCUUCAUGGAGGAGAUUACUGAGUAGUUUGGUUCAUCAGGCUGACCUCCAGUCUUCAUGGAGGAGAUUACUGAGUAGUUUGGUUCAUCAGGCUGAUCCCCAGUCUUCAUGGAGGAGAUUACUGAGUAGUUUGGUUCAUCAGGC